rnacentral:misc_RNA from 1 species
GGAAUGGUGCUUCCUUUCCAGCCGUUGUCACUUGCAUUUAAACACGUCAAUUACUAUGUCGAUAUGCCAGCAGAAAUGAAAGCCCAAGGAAUUGAAGAGACUCGUCUCCAAUUGUUACGAGAUGUUAGUGGCGCUUUCAGACCUGGAGUCCUUACAGCCUUAGUUGGUGUAAGUGGAGCUGGGAAGACUACUUUGAUGGAUGUCUUAGCA